rnacentral:rRNA from 1 species
CGGUGUUUAACUGGCGUGAUGUGGGACGUCCUACCGGUGGGCUUAGCCUCGCGAGGGGCGGCCCAACUAAUAUCCCGUCGCGGUGUUCUUUACUGAGUGUCGAGUCGGGCCGGUACGUUUACUUUGAACAAAUUAGAGUGCUUAAAGCAGGCUAUCCUCGCCUGAAUACUGCGUGCAUGGAAUAAUGGAAUAGGACCUCGGUUCUAUUUUGUUGGUUUUCGGAACCCCGAGGUAAUGAUUAAUAGGGACAGAUGGGGGCAUUCGUAUUGCGACGUUAGAGGUGAAAUUCUUGGAUCGUCGCAAGACGGACAGAAGCGAAAGCAUUUGCCAAAAAUGUUUUCAUUAAUCAAGAACGAAAGUUAGAGGUUCGAAGGCGAUCAGAUACCGCCCUAGUUCUAACCAUAAACGAUGCCAGCUAGCGAUCCGCCGAAGUUCCUCCGAUGACUCGGCGGGCAGCUUCCGGGAAACCAAAGCUUUUGGGUUCCGGGGGAAGUAUGGUUGCAAAGCUGAAACUUAAAGGAAUUGACGGAAGGGCACCACCAGGAGUGGAGCCUGCGGCUUAAUUUGACUCAACACGGGAAACCUCACCAGGCCCAGACACCGGAAGGAUUGACAGAUUGAUAGCUCUUUCUUGAUUCGGUGGGUGGUGGUGCAUGGCCGUUCUUAGUUGGUGGAGCGAUUUGUCUGGUUAAUUCCGAUAACGAACGAGACUCUAGCCUGCUAAAUAGGCGUACCUUAUGGUAUCGCGAAGGCCCCCGGCUUCGGCCGGUGGGUUUUUACUACCAACGUACAAACAAAUCUUCUUAGAGGGACAGGCGG